rnacentral:rRNA from 1 species
AGCGAACGCUGGCGGCAGGCCUAACACAUGCAAGUCGAACGGAUCCUUCGGGAUUAGUGGCGGACGGGUGAGUAACACGUGGGAACGUGCCCUUUGGUUCGGAACAACUCAGGGAAACUUGUGCUAAUACCGGAUGUGCCCUUCGGGGGAAAGAUUUAUCGCCAUUGGAGCGGCCCGCGUCUGAUUAGCUAGUUGGUGGGGUAAAGGCCCACCAAGGCGACGAUCAGUAGCUGGUCUGAGAGGAUGAUCAGCCACAUUGGGACUGAGACACGGCCCAAACUCCUACGGGAGGGAGCAGUUGGGAAUCUUGCGCAAUGGGCGAAAGCCUGACGCAGGCAUGCCGCGUGAAUGAUGAAGGUCUUAGGAUUGUAAAAUUCUUUCACCGGGGACGAUAAUGACGGUACCCGGAGAAGAAGCCCCGGCUAACUUCGUGCCAGCCGCCGCAGUAAUAC